rnacentral:rRNA from 1 species
GGCGAACGGGUGAGUAACACGUGGGUGAUCUGCCUUGCACUCUGGGAUAAGCUUGGGAAACUGGGUCUAAUACCGGAUAGGAACCGUCUUUAGUGUGGUGGUUGGAAAGUUUUUUCGAUGCAAGAUGAGCUCGCGGCCUAUCAGCUUGUUGGUGGGGUAAUGGCCUACCAAGGCGUCGACGGGUAGCCGGCCUGAGAGGGUGUACGGCCACAUUGGGACUGAGAUACGGCCCAG